GCGGAGCCAGAAAUUAGGUAUAGAGGGGGCCAGACAUAUAACAUAGUAGAACUUCUAAUAACAUUAUAUAUAUGCCCGUACGUUGUAUCAGGGUUACAAAUUUUUGUCCAUGUCUACAUUGAUCAGUUUGCAGAAAAUAAUAGAAAAAAUCUAAUAACCUUAGUGACCGGACGCAUGAGCUCCAAAGAGUCAGUGGUCCUGUUCACUUGAAGUUAUUAGGACUACUUUUCAACUAUAAAAUAGUGUUUUUCUCU
rnacentral:lncRNA from 1 species